rnacentral:rRNA from 1 species
GAUGAACGCUGGCGGCGUGCCUAAUACAUGCAAGUAGAACGCUGAAGGAAGGAGCUUGCUCUUCUGGAUGAGUUGCGAACGGGUGAGUAACGCGUAGGUAACCUGCCUGGUAGCGGGGGAUAACUAUUGGAAACGAUAGCUAAUACCGCAUAACAGUAGAUGUUGCAUGACAUCUGCUUGAAAGGUGCAAUUGCACCACUACCAGAUGGACCUGCGUUGUAUUAGCUAGUUGGUGAGGUAACGGCUCACCAAGGCGACGAUACAUAGCCGACCUGAGAGGGUGAUCGGCCACACUGGGACUGAGACACGGCCCAGACUCCUACGGGAGGCAGCAGUAGGGAAUCUUCGGCAAUGGACGGAAGUCUGACCGAGCAACGCCGCGUGAGUGAAGAAGGUUUUCGGAUCGUAAAGCUCUGUUGUAAGAGAAGAACGAGUGUGAGAGUGGAAAGUUCACACUGUG